UAGCUAUUUGACAUGUCGUGUAUCAAGCUACGAACCUCUCUACAUCUUGCCUCAUCCUUGGAUAGAAGAAGUAUGUGACCAACACUUUAUCUUCUUGACAUUAAAAUGUUCCAUCAAUCCACCUCCAUGUGCCUCUUGCAACAACAAAAGACGAACAUAAACAAGUAGAAUGCAUUAUCGGUUAGCUCUAAACAAAAACUCACCAUGCAUCACAAAUUUGUUCUAUAUACAUCUCUUUAUAUAUAUUUUUUGUCACAUCCUUAAGUUCAUUAUUAUUAACAUAUUGUACUUUAAUAUUUUAAGCCUAAUUAUAGAACAAUCAAAUUGGAACAACAUAGUAUAUUAUCUGGACAAAGCAUCAACAAUAAUAUUAUCUUUUUCUUUCUUAUGUUUGAUCACAUAAGAAAAUGAUUCAAUAAAUUCAACCCACAUAGGCAUGUGUACGUUUCAGUUUAUUUUGACUUAGUUAUUAGAGUAAUUAGGAAAUUCUGCAUACAGUUCUUCGCCAUACAUAGAAUAAUUAAGAAUGUCUAUUUAAUUUCUCACUAAAGUAAGCAACGAGCUUACCUUGCAUCAAUACACCACUAAUGCAAACUCCAUUAGCAUCACAUUGAUGCUCAAAAGUCCUACAAAAUUAGGAAGUUGUUGUAAUAAUGUGUUGGUAAGCAUGUUCUUUCAAAGAGCAAAGGACACUUCUUGUUCUUUUGCUCAGUGAAACAUGAUGUCCUUUUUGUCAAUUCAUUUAGCAAGGCUAUAAUAGUGCUUUAAUCCUUCACAAAGUAAUAAUAAAAUCAUAUAAGUCCAUAGAAGCUUCACACUUUUAUCACGGUUGUGGGCGUUGACCGACUCUUUAUAGCACACAUGUUAUCUUCAUCUACUUUACUUCCGUGUGAGGUCACAACAUAGCCAAAAAAAGAUACUUAUUCGAUAUAAAAAUGUACUUCACAAGGUUACCAAAUAGAUGUGUAGCAUAUAAAACAUUAAAAACAUAGAUGAGUAAAAUGUUUUGUUAAAGAUUUAGUGUAUAUCAAUAUAUCACAAAAUAGACUACCACAAAUUUACAAAUAAAAAACAUAAAACCUCAUCCAUUAAUCUCAUAGAAGUGAUUUGUGCACUAGUUAACCCAAAAGAUAUUACUAAUCACUCAUAUGGAAGCACUUAUAGAGUGUUUGGUUUGAGGAAUCAAACCAUCUAAAUUAAGGUGGUCCAUCAUGGGUUCAUUCCUCAGAUUUGGUGGGAUGACUUCAUUCCUCAUAUUAGUACUAACUAACUAUGUAACUAUGAGAAAAGAGAUGGUGAUGGAUUAACUCAUUCUAUUCCACAAACCAAACAAAAAUAGUGAGGAGUGAGAAGAUGAUGGACUAGCUCAUUCCUCAAACCAAACACCCCAUUAGUUAUGCCAUAUUUUUUGGACCAAAAUAACUAAAACACCCUAUUUUUGAACCUAAGUAACUAAAACAACACAAGAACUAAGACUGUUAUAUACAUAUUUGUGGUCUAAAAUAUCUUGGACUUGGUGUUGAAUCUCUUUAGUCUCAUCAGGAUUGGCAAAUCAAGCUCGCUCGAGAAGUUAAUUUGGUGCUUAGUCCCUUGAAUGAGUGGAAGUCCUAGAGUUAUCUAAGUGAAGAACAUUUAUUUCUACAAAAGGUUAAUGAUAGAAGGUGGUUAAGUGCUACCUAUAUCAUAAGUGAAAAAUAGCACAUCUUUGUAUAUCAGCGCAUAGCACACAUCAUGAAUCUCUACAACUUCUUUGGAGAAGUAAAAUUGAUGAAUAGCAAGAGCAACAUAAUUAAGGCAUAAGACAACACGCUAACAUAGCUCACUUUGACCUUCUAUAUAUAUUCUUCUAGAUAUUGUUCCUCUUCUCUACUUUGUCUUUCUCUAUUUUUAGGAUAUUGUUGUUUAUAGGAAUUUUGACUUCCAUUUCUUUAUGUUUUUCUUGCCUUAGAAGCACAAAACAAGUAACCAUAGAAAAUUUAAGUUUAAACAAGUAAAAUGCGUGGCAUGUGGAAUUUUUAGAAGAAACAUUCAAAGUUGAGGAGAUUAUUGUUUAGAGCUUGGAAAGAUGUUCUUCUAAGCUAUUUUUUAUAAAACUAAAUUUGCCGGACCCAUCGAAUUAUGUUCACACUUCACAAAAUUGCCACCAUUAGUGGAAAGAUAUUGCUAAGUAGACUAGGUGGUUUCGGUUAAAAGCCGUGUUUUGAUGGAGUGACGCGAGAAACCAGAAAAAUCUCGCUAAACAGCCUGCAGCGCAGAUGAUUCUCGUCGCCGCGGCUUCGACUCAACCACGGGAUUUGUACUGAGAACAGAAAAUCCCGUAUCACAAGUAAAAUCAUGAUUUUCUCGAUCGCUGCUCAUGUCAAUCACGCAUAUGUGAGCUGCGAAAACAAAUACACCCUAAGCCUAUAGGUGCUAAGUAGUGAGGUGAUGGUGCCGCCCUGCAACAUGGUGUCGAUGUAUCCCAGAAGAGAUGCUAGAUUUUGUUGUCAAAUAGCCUUUCCGCGACCUAGAGUGAAGUGGGGUUGAUGGCCCUCCCCGUCACCUCGUACAACAAUGACUAACCAUUGUUGUCCAUUGGGAAGGGAUGCAUCAACACCAAGCUUGCAAAGAUCCAGAAGCAAAGUGUAUCAUCGGUUCUCGAACUUGAUACGAUGUGUUAUUUAGGUCCCUGAACUCAGGAAACUAGAAAAAUAGACCCUAGUGCAAAAUCAUUCAGAUCUGGAUUUGCUCAAACCAUAUGGCGAUGUGACGUGCUACAUCAAAUCCUUCCCACACGCAUCAUGUGCCUGCUGAUACACAAGUCCCCAAAUUUGGCAUGUUAUGUCACUUAAGUCUCUGAACUUGUGUCCCCAAACUUUCAUUAGUGAGCUCUAAAGUAGCAUGCCACGUUGGCAUCUAGUUUGAGCAAAAUCGAUUUUAGAUAAAUUUGCAUGAGUCGACCAACUUUUCGACCUAUUUUUCUAGUUUUCUAGGUUCUGAUACCCAAGUGACACAUUGUGUCAAAUUUGAAAAUCGCUGAUACAUUUUACUCAAGAUCCAACCAUAGGGACACUCGGUCCGGCCACCAUGUCAUAAAACCUUGCCACAUACCCUCCAAAUUUGUCACCAGAGGAGGGGACCACCGCCACAAAGUUAGCAAGAGCCUUUAAAUAUUAUUCUUAUCUCUCAUGUUUGGUAUCUAUGUCUAUACCACUAUAUAAUUGACUAGUUUAAACUUUGCAAAACCAAUCCAACCAAAUCACCCCCACACCCGUAAGUUUCGCUAAAUCCACCAAACAGUUGCACCUAGACUUAACAUAUCAUGGUUUAGAUCACUAUAUAAACCCGUCUUUUUUACCCAAAUCCAAUGGACAAUAUUAUUUGAAUCAUCCAUCAUACCCUGCGACCCUGCCGCCCCCAGCCUCUCCCCUCACAUUCUCGUCACCCCUCCCCUUCACUCGUGCCGCCGCAAUAGUAGUAGUGGGUCUAAAUUCCAUAACUAUAAGGUAGCAUUCGAAAAUUAUAACUUGACAAGUCCUUAGAGUGACAUAUUUUUAAACCAUUUUUAUCUAACUCUUAUUUUAAUUUGAAAUUAAUAGUUUAAAAGUUUAUAUUUUAGUUUGGCUAGGCCAUUUGUUAUGGUUGAAGAUACGUAUAUUUUCUGUAAUUUAAUCUUUUUUUAAUAUAACUAAAGUUAACGCCUGCUAUAUUUUUUGCUACUAACCAACAAUUGUUAAUUGUUAUGUAUUUGUGAUUCAUAAUUAUAUGAAUUUAAUAUAUAUGUGAUUAUAUGUCUAAUUUAAUUGUGAUUGAUAUGUACUUUUUGUCUGAUAUAUUGGUUUGAAAACAGUCAUAGACAUUCUAUUUGCAUGGCGCCCCGCCAUCCUCUAUAACCUCCACAUUCUAUGACCUACAUGAAACUAGGCAAAAGGCGUGGUGCGUCACUUAUCCAUUCAAACACAGGAAUUUGUUGCAAUCACGGGAUUGUAGAAGAAAACUACAAGAUGUGAUGAUGCUGAUGCUACAUAAGUCAUGCUAAAAUGUCUCGUUUAUUGAAGUAUUGUAUCUCAAAUAUAUUAUUUUUUAAUUUCUUUAUCUUGUAGUUUAUAUUUGAGAUUUUAUUAUUAUAUUUAGUCACUGCACACUCUCAUUAAAAGAGUAACGACCUUUUUGGUGACUAAAGAUGCUUAUGAAGAAGGGAGAUUGCUAUUAAAGAUUUAUGUAUUACAUUGAGCCCUUAUACGAUUUAUAUAGAGUACAUGACAUAAGAGACAAGGCAACCCAUAGAUACAUGUGGCAAUUCGAGACACAAUAUCUAGACUAUCAAAUAUACUCUAACACUCCACAAUCAUAGAGGGAGCAUGGUAGACGUUUAGACUAUAGAAGUCUAUAUGGACUAAAAUCCCCCAUAGUCGUGACGUUGUCGGAGUGCAGAUGCAACGACUUGGAGAAGAAACCGACGAGAAGCUGAUGUAGACGAUAGUUCUCUGUGUCGAUGUUGAGGUAGCCUAGUACAAGGAUGAACAGUUGUGGUCGAUAAUCUUGCAAAGGAUAGUUGUGGUCGAUGAAAGCUAUCGAGGUCACUAAGAAGUAGGAGCCACACAAGUCGUGUGCUUGAUGUGUUGUGGUGAUGGUGGCGAAUAGAAGGAAGCACCAUAGACAAAGAUGGUGAUGCAGUCAAGGCAGUCAAUGGAGAAGGUCGAUGGCGAAGUCGACAUUGUCGAAUCAACGUGGCUGAGGCAUGUGUGAGGUUUACUAGCUAAGCCCAAAAACACACCGGGGAUGAAGGUACGCACCAGUGUUGCUAGCAAAAGACAUACUAGGUAGAGGACCCCAACCAUACGUCAGUGUCUAAAGUGACUAGCAGAGAAGGCCUCCGCGAUAGUUGCAAUGUGUAGAAGAACAACGAGGAAGCAUGUGUCAAUGCACCAAUGGUUGUCGGUGUGGAUGAAGUAGACGAGGACAGAGGACGACACUGGCAACGAGAUUGUGAUGGACGAAGUCAAAGAAGUAGAUGGUUGACACAUCUAGGGACCCAGAGUGGCAGUGGUGAGAUCUGCAUUGCGCAAGGAGUCAUGGUGGUGCUAGAGUGUUGCAACAGUGGUGCUUAAAGAAGAUGACGAAGAGCAUGAACGGUCCAGGUAUACCAUGUGAGAGAGGCGCACAACGACGUAGUCGACGGUGAUGUAGGGGCAAUACAAGGAUGAAAAUAGGCGACGAUGGCGCAAAACCCGACCAAUUAGGAAGAAAAAGGGACCCACAACAACAACAAAUUUUGUUACAUCACCAAGUACCCACAAAUAGUCCAUUCUCCUAACUCAACUCACCCUCCUUAUCCUCGAUCAGAAGACUGAAAGAGGGAGAAAGAGAUAAACCACGAUCACAAAGGCUCGACUUGGCUAACAGGGAGAGGCACAUAGCCUAGCACAACCAACAUCCUCUUUUUCUUUGGCAGGGGUCUUAAUGGCUUUGUUGCUUUUCUCCUCAAAUAAAUCUCCAAAGAUCGCAUCCAUUGGAUUCACUAUGCAGGGGAGGCUAGGCAAUGCCUCUUUGAGCUUGUCGCCUGAUGUAUCCUCCUAGGCGGGCUUUUUCUCGACCUACUUCGACAUAGAAUCAAAGUUAACAAGGUCGACCCCGAAAGGACUUAAAAAUACCAUGAUGUUUGUUUUGUCAUUACCUCAAUUUUCUGAGCGUUCAGAACAAGACUCUUCAACAACAGCUCGUACAUGUUCUUCAGUGGUAGGGGUCUUUGCAAUGCCAGCAGGCUUCUCUGAGGCAACCUUAGAGGCCUCGACCUAGACCUUCUACUUCUCACCUUCAUGGUGUUUCCUUUCAAAGCGCUUGGGUGCUAGCAACUUUUCCUUUGCCACAAUCUCACUACCCUUGUAUUUUGCCUUUGGCUUCAAGGACUUUGUCGGAGGGCCCCCUCUAGCCUCCUUUUCACUAAUCACUCAACCCCUAUCUAUAAUUCUUACUUUGCAUUUCCUCUGCAAUCUAGCAUCAUGAUCGACAAUGAGGUUGGGGUAGUCUAGAUAUUCUAAGUCAUAUGCUUUGAUCACACGAUUAUGUAUUCUCUUUAUUGCCACUCACUAUCGCACUAAGUAGAUGAUCUCUUUCACAAUAUAGUUGCAUAAAACUUUGUUAGCAACUGUCUCCACCAUAAUGAGCCACUCAUUGCUCGGCUUUAUGAAGAUGCUGAAGGGAUUGAAUUUAUAAGGUAACUGAAUCAUCUCUCGAGCUUCAAUCUCCUUCGUGUUGUCCUCAUCUUUUGGCUUAGGUAUCUCCUAGCCAACUUUCAUAGGAAAUACAUGGUAGGCAAUAUGCUCUUGAAUUCGUCUCUUAGCACCCUAGGGGUCAAGGGUGACAAAGCCCAUGGGCUCACACGGCCUCUCCAGAAUCGUCACCACGACAACACGUGGAUGUCGUCUGCCCCACAACCAUCACCAUGAUUGCAUGCACAAAGGACAAAGGCAUGAUCCAACCGGUAGGAGAGCCCAACAACCACCAUGACAUGUAGAGAAACCAGCGAGCCUCUGAUUUGUUGAAGCUUGACAAUACAAUAACGACGAUGAACGCGACAAAUCAGAAGGAUUAGUCAUGCAUCCUAACUACGAGAGCGCAACUCUUGAUGGAGAUCAAUUUCCUCGAGGCAGCGCGACGACGACAGCAGAAGGGGAAGCCUAAGUCAUAGCCUAAACUCGUUAUACCAUGUUAGGGGGGUUUGCCAUCAAGGAUUGAUGUAUUGCAUUAAGCCCUUAGGCAGUUUAUAUAGAGCACAUGAGUAAGAGACAAGGCAAAUCAUGGAUAUAUAUGACAGUAGACGAGACACAAUAUCUAGACUACCAAAUAUACUUUUAACAACUUCUAACAACUAAAUAUAAAAUAUCUAAAAUAUUUGUUGAGAAGUUAACAUAUGAGAGAGAACCUAUAACUGUGCAACUAAUAUAAGAAAAAUAACAUAAACAUAUAACAAUGGGAAAAUUAUGACACGCUAAUAAGUCACAAACAAAAAUAACAACUAAUUAUGAAAUUGACAUGUAGUUGAGUAUUUAUACAAUGAUAUAUAUAAUAUCGAAAGUGCUUUCGAUAAUAUUAUGUUAGUUGAUCAACCGUGCUCAUAACUUGGUUGGAGAUAAAUCAUAAAUUCACAUUCUUUGUCACAAUUUAUUACAAGUUUCUAUUGUCCAAAAUAUUAUGGUUUAAACAAUUCAAUUUCUAUAGUGCAUGGGCAUGAUGCCUAAAAGCUUACUAGACUCUCUUCUCUUAUCAUUUUUUCCUAGAGCAUAUCUUUUGUUGCCCUAAAAGGUAAAAACCUAUCACUUGGGGGUCGCUCUCAAGUUUUGAAUGUAUACUCCACUUAUUUCAUUUGUUCGAUGUCCUCUCAGCUUUCAUUCUCAACUGAGCAUAUUUAGCCUUCAAGGAAGGGAAAGAAAAAGAGGAGACAAGAAAAACUUGGCUAUCAACUUCACUUAUAUAUCAAUGGAAGAAAACCAACUUCUAUUGGGCAGGGCCAUGUGCAUCAACUAGACUCUAGCACCCCCAACACAAAACCUGUCAUGAAAAAAAGGCGUGCCCAUACUGUGUCUAGUAGAUUCAGAACAUUUGAAGAUGGAAACUUCUUGUUGGGAGUGUGUGGAAGAAAACUUAGAAAGCUAAAUCCAACUCGGGAAACAUGGGGAAAUUAAUUACAAAUAUUUAGAAAGAGUGCAAAAAGCCCAACCAAACAUUUAGCUAACGACUGCGCCUUCUUAGAACCCACCCUACACGCCCUGAAACUUCUUGGCUUUUCCACAUGGAGCAUAUAGAGCUAGUCACUUUGACUUCUCUAGUACCUAAUCAUAACUUCAGAACCUAGACAGCCUAGAUGGUUGUCUCGGUAUGUAGUGGUCCAAACUCUACAGUCAGAUACAAGGAACAUCACAUUACAUUAAUAAAUAUGAUAGGGCAUAUAUGGUAGAGAAAAGUCUAUUAUUCAAACAGUUAACUUGGACAUCUGGAAUCUAGAUGACAUCAUAUCGAGAACUCUCAAAGGUAUACAUUAUCUUUCAUUCAUUCUUCAACUGAAUAGAUUUGAAGCCCAUGAAUGCAUAUUUUUUCUAAUCUGUAUCACCCAUCGGAAGUCCAUGUUUUUCCUUUAAAAUCCUUGUCCAUAGAAAGUCUAUUUUUAUUGCCUUUUUGGUUUGAUCCUAGACCUUCAUAUAAAUAUCCGAACCUUUUUUCCCAGUGAUCUACUUCUAAAUACACACCCUUUAUUUUUGAAAUUAUGAUAACAAACCCACAUACCAGAUUUAUCCGCAUUAUGAUUCAAGGGAAGAAAAGGUAAAAGAAUAUAAAUAAGGAGUUCGUAAACAAAAAAUGUCCUAGGUAUUUACAUUUACUUGUGUAAUUGCUUGAUACAAGCAUUUCAUUGGUUAUCCACUUGCGUAUAUGACUAGUAGCUCCUCUUUGAUACAACAUGUCAUUUUAGGACAAAAUUUGGUCAAACCUUGAAAACUACGAAGAUCAAUAACUUUUAAAUCUUUAGGUUUGGAUACAUGAUAUAUUUGCAUAUUUGUAUAAUAAAAUAGUUAUAAAAUCUUGAAAAUAUAUUCUAGAUGAUAUUGGUGGUCCAAGAUAUGCAUCAAAGACCAUGUAAAGUUAGAUGUGACAGAUAGGUUGUAUCAUGGCUCAGUUCUGAUGUUUUUAUAUGAUCAAGAAUAUAGCAACGAAAACUCUUAAAACAUCUAGAGAAACAGUGGUCCGAAACCUUUAUGAGAACUAAGUAGAGUAGAAUAGUAGUAUGGAAUGUGAUGGACCAGGGCAUGAACUCAAUAUCAUGAGGAAAAAGGACAUCAUACUAAUAAACUGUAUUUGACUGUAAGAUUCAGGAUGUAAUUCAUAAUAAUAUACUCACCUCCAAUAAAACUGCCUGCAUUUUUGUUCCACGUGAGGUGAAUAUAUAGAUGUUGAUUGUCCAAGAGUACAUUAUGCAAGGAGCUAAUAUCAUAUUCAUUUUUUUUCUCCUUUUUCAGCAUAGAGGAUACAUAUAACCGCUAUCAGCAAUUUUCUGGAGAAGGAAGGAAUAUAAAUGACGAUCGAAAUAGAAACGAUGUAAAGAUCUUGAUGUAGCUUUUACAACGCAUAUGAUGCAGCCUACAGCUUCGCUGCUUUUUUUAUCAUAGUUUUAGAAAGAAUGUUUUUACAUACUGUGCCAGUUGCCGGCACCAACCAAAAUGCUAUGUUUUUCACACUAUGCAGAACAGAAUGUCCUGUUUGUACAGUAUGUAGAAUACCAGAGCAAAUAUAUAAUAUUGAAAUUUACGAUAAAUAUAGCUUACUAGGGUGUUUUUGGUACAGAACAAGGAUGAAGCUUCUUCAGAUUUGCAGUUGAUGCUGAGCAAGAUUGCGACCUGGUACACACCCAGAACUCAGGAUUUCCACCCACUCUGGUUUCCCAUUUUUGAUAAAUAAUCACAAUUUCUUCAAACCGGCAGGUCUCCCCAGAGCAAUGCUGACGAAUCAGAUGUAGAUGAGCUGGAGAAGCUGGAAAAUCUUCUGAGAAAUGCUUUGAAGGAUACGAGAUCCAGGAAGGUACGGUAUAUUUUUUUUUCUUGAAAUCUGAACGGUAAAGCCCACAAGCAGGACCUUGAUUGGUUGCGCCUUAUUCAAGUUCAGUUCAGUCCAAACUCCAAACUGUGUUGUUUGGUUAAUGACAACCAAAUACAAUAGGGAGUGCAGAAUACCAAAUUUCUUUGGAUGCUGCUAGUGUUUUGUUAUUUCCUUUGGAUGUUGCUAGCUUCUACCUUUGCGCUCUGCGUAAAUUUGCUACUUUGCCUGGAAGUACUGCUGGAACGGGCAAGUACUGUUGGACAAGCUGCUACUGAACAACUGUGAGCAAUGUAACCUCAGCGCAGAAAUGUCAGGCCUUGCAUGAAAAUUAAACCCUCGUGAGAGAGCUUGAUCUGUUAGGCACAAGUGGUGUAAAAAGUUAGGAACCAUAGCAGGAUGCCAUAUAUAUCUUACCUGUUUAUUUUCUGAAUAAGCUUUCAGUGAUCACUGACCAGUCGGCUAGAUUGCUAUUUAGGCCCUGUUUCAAUCUCGCGAGAUAAACUUUAGCAGCUUUUUUUAGCUACUUUUAGCCAUUUGUAAUCUAAACAGGAGAGCUAAUGGUGGUAAUUGAAACUAAACUUUAGCACUUUAAUUCAUAUAGUUAAAGUUUAGCAGGAAGCUAAAGUUUAUCCCGUGAGAUUGAAACGGGGCGCCAAAUGCAGUUGAGUGCUAUGCUAAUUCCUACUAUGGUAUGGCGAUCAGAU
rnacentral:lncRNA from 1 species